rnacentral:rRNA from 1 species
UAGGGAAUCUUCCACAAUGGACGCAAGUCUGAUGGAGCAACGCCGCGUGAGUGAAGAAGGUUUUCGGACCGUAAAGCUCUGUUGUUGGUGAAGAAGGAUAGAGGUAGUAACUGGCCUUUAUUUGACGGUAAUCAACCAGAAAGUCACGGCUAACUACGUGCCAGCAGCCGCGGUAAUACGUAGGUGGCAAGCGUUGUCCGGAUUUAUUGGGCGUAAAGCGAGCGCAGGCGGAAGAAUAAGUCUGAUGUGAAAGCCCUCGGCUUAACCGAGGAAUUGCAUCGGAAACUGUUUUUCUUGAGUGCAGAAGAGGAGAGUAGAACUCCAUGUGUAGCGGUGGAAUGCGUAGAUAUAUGGAAGAAUACCAGUGGCGAAGGCGGCUCUCUGGUCUGCAACUGACGCUGAGGCUCGAAAGCAUGGGUAGCGAACAGGA